UUAUGAGCGUCGUACGUGACCUGCGGAGGGAUCAUUACACAAAUAUGAAGGCGGGCUGGAACCUCUCGGGGUUACAGCCUUGCUGAAUUAUUCACCCUUGUCUUUUGCGUACUUCUUGUUUCCUUGGUGGGUUCGCCCACCACUAGGACAAACAUAAACCUUUUGUAAUUGCAAUCAGCGUCAGUAACAAAUUAAUAAUUACAACUUUCAACAACGGAUCUCUUGGUUCUGGCAUCGAUGAAGAACGCAGCGAAAUGCGAUAAGUAGUGUGAAUUGCAGAAUUCAGUGAAUCAUCGAAUCUUUGAACGCACAUUGCGCCCUUUGGUAUUCCAAAGGGCAUGCCUGUUCGAGCGUCAUUUGUACCCUCAAGCUUUGCUUGGUGUUGGGCGUCUUGUCUCUAGCUUUGCUGGAGACUCGCCUUAAAGUAAUUGGCAGCCGGCCUACUGGUUUCGGAGCGCAGCACAAGUCGCACUCUCUAUCAGCAAAGGUCUAGCAUCCACUAAGCCUUUUUUUCAACUUUUGACCUCGGAUCAGGUAGGGAUACCCGCUGAACUUA
rnacentral:rRNA from 1 species